AAGAUAUUAGUUUAAAUAAAACAUUAGUUUGUCAAACUAAAAAUAUUAAUUAAUAUAUCUUU
rnacentral:tRNA from 1 species